rnacentral:rRNA from 1 species
AUGAGCGCGGCGUGCGGCGCGCCCGCCCCAACGGCGGCGGGGGUGGGCGAGUGGAGGAAGGACUGGCCGCUGCGAUCCGGCAGCUUCGCCAUGCUCUCCGACAAGUGCGGCCAGAUGAAGGCCGUCGAAGGUCACAAGGGCAGCUUGCUAUUCUACAUGACUUCAACACAUAAGGGAAGCUUGUUACAUUUACAGAAAGUCAUGAUGUUGGCAAUGGUAAGGGGGCGAAAUCAUGAAGGCAUGGUUUGUGUUGCAAGUCUGACAUACAUCUGCAUAAAACUCAGAGAAGUCAUGGUAAAAACUUGCUGUUAA